GUCUGUGAGAAAUAAGGAGUAAGAAGGGGAUUUUCAGUGGUGAUAAACUGUUGGGUGGCAGGAUUCCAUUUACUUCUUUGCUCCAUUGUUUAGGUUUGAGGAAAAAAAAAUCUUAGAAUGGGUAACAUGUACUGAGCUAAGCAAUUAGCAUAUAAAACUAUGACCUUUACCUCAAAGGAAAUUAGUAUCUAGAGACAGUGGCCAAGAAAUCCACAGAAGCCUGCUCUUGGGGUGGGAGUCAUGUGAACUUCUUAGAUCAAUGGUUUUGGGGGAUUUACUUUAAUCAGUUGCUGGUUUAUUUGUCAUGGCAAAGGUAACCAAAGGUUGUCUAUGUUCAUAGACUGGAUCUUAGUUGCUCAACUCCUUUUAAGAAAAACAUGGUGUCCCAAUCACGGAUGUUAAGAAAGCAGCUAGGGUCAAAUGUCAACCACGCCCCCAGCUGUAGGUAGACACAGUUUUUAUUCUUGGUGACCAAUCGAGAAGUGCGUAAGUUCUUCUAGUUCAGAUAGUUUACAGGAAAAUAAUUUCCAAUUAAAAUAAUUUUCAAGUACUCACAGUGAAUACCUAGGAAAUUCUGUUAUACUUGUUGUAGUAGGCUUUGACAGACAGACAGACAGAACUGCAGGCCACAAAUCAGAGUGGUCACAUUGGUAAAGGUCACUUGGCCAUUUAUCCUUUACUGCAUUUCCUAGACACUAUAGCUAAUUCUUUCCCAGUGCUCACUGUGUCUGGGAUAUACCUUAUCUUUGUAGCUCUCCCCCCCCCCCCACAUACUUUCUUUCUUUACAUCAAAGAAAUUUAUCAAAAUAGUUUUGCUUACUCAAAAAUACAUGUAACUAAACUCUUGAGAUUCUGCCAGUUCUCCUUUGGCUGUCUCCAUGGUCACAGUGAGACCACAGGGUCACCAUGGGGAGGCCACUGGGUGACUGAGGCCACUCAGUACAACUAUUUGUUCCUUUUUCAUGCAUUCGGAAGUAGAAGACAGAACGAAGGGAACAUCAAAUAAAAGUCGGGACACCUUGAUCCCUGAUGUCCAGUUACUUGGGAGGUCUCUCUCUCUAUAUCAGAUGUGAUAGAUGGGUGCUCCUUCCUCAGAUAUGGUGGGUGUAUACUUGGUAGGAGAGGAAGACACCCUCUGAGGCAGCUUCCAUAGCCUUGGCUGCAGGGAGGAAGCUGCAAGAGGAAGAAGUGGGAGGUGACCAGUGUUACUGCUGCAGUCCUGACCUUUGAAUGCUGCAGUGGAGAGAGUGCCCCUCUGAGGUGGGGGAAGCUGAAGAUGAGUUUAUUCAUGGGAGGUGGAGUUGGUAUCUAGUUUAGCC
rnacentral:lncRNA from 1 species